rnacentral:lncRNA from 1 species
GAACGGACAGACUUUAACGAGAACACCCAUAUCAGAAUAGAUUUUCCAUUCUACAACAAAGAAAUUUUCAAACAACACAACAAUACACACAUACACUACCCAUAUACACAGAAUACACAGUACACAUACAAAAGGACACGAAUCUCUCUUCUUUCUCUCCUUAACAGCCGUUCCUAUCCUCUUUGAUGAAGAUCUGUCAGAGCACGUCCACCAUCAUCACCACCACAUGACCAAUAACAACUCUACGCCGCCCGUCACUGCCA